UGGUGGAGUGAUUUGUCUGGUUAAUUCCGUUAACGAACGAGACCUCAGCCUGCUAAAUAGUUUGACGAACAUACGUGUUCGCAUCAAAGCUUCUUAGAGGGACUU
rnacentral:rRNA from 1 species